rnacentral:rRNA from 1 species
UACGGGGGGGGGCAAGCGUUGUUCGGAAUUACUGGGCGUAAAGCGUGCGCAGGCGGUUCGUUAAGUUCGUUUGUGAAAGCCCCCGGGCUCAACCUGGGAACUGCAAUGGAAACUGGCGGGCUUGAAUGCGGCAGAGGGGGGUGGAAUUCCGGCGUGUAGCAGUGAAAUGCGUAGAGAUGCGGAGGAACACCGAUGGCGAAGGCAGCCCCCUGGGCCGACAUUGACGCUCAGGCACGAAAGCGUGGGGAGCAAACAGG